AUGGUGGUCACCUCCCCGUCGGCGGCGCCGCCCGCCGCCGCACCCGACCGCCCCCACCCGACCUACACCAACAUGAUUACUUACGCGCUGGCGGAGCUGGGAGGCGCCUCCGACCGCUCCGCCAUCGCCGGAUUCAUCGCCGCGCGCUUCACCGGCCUCCCCGUCAGCCACGACGCGCUCCUCUCCGCCCACCUCCGCCGCCUCGUCACCCAGGGCGUCCUCUGCACCUCCGGAUUAUUCUCCUACUUCUUCUCCUCCGACCACCACCACCACUCGCCCACCACUAGGAGGCCACACAGUCCCGAUCUCGAUUCCGAUGAUCAGUCUGGGUUCCACUUCCAGAGUAGCAGUGAGGAGGAGGAGGACGACGAAGAUGAUGCUGCCUACACUCCUCUGCAUGUGCCUGUUCCUGUUCAUGUUCUGGGAGAGAAGCGAGGCCGGGGGCGCCCGCGGAAGAAGGUUGUGGUUAUGCUGUCUGCUCACACCACCACUGCUGCAGCAACGCCUGAACCCUGUCUUGCAAAGGGAGAGCAAACACAGCAUUCUGCUGCUGCUAGGUCUGUGCUCUCUCUAUCUGGGGAUGCAGCUUACUCGGUGACUAAGCGAGGCCGUGGGAGACCAAGGAAGCUACAGCCGUCCCCCUCCCUGGGAGGCGGCGAUACGUCAACUGGUGGCAUCAUCAAGAUCAAGAGAGGGCGUGGGAGGCCGAGAAAGGAGGAUCAACAAUCACAGGAAGCAGCAACAAAGCCUCUUCCAACUACAACCGCGUCGUCAACUGUUGGCAUCAUCAAGAUCAACAAGAGAGGGCGUGGGAGGCCGAGAAAGGAGGACCAACAAUCACAGGAAGCAGCAACAAAGCCUCUUCCAACUACAACCGCGUCGUCAACUGUUGGCAUCAUCAAGAUCAACAAGAGAGGGCGUGGGAGGCCGAGAAAGGAGGAGAAACAAUCACAGGAAGCAACAAAUCCUCUUCCCACUCCAACCGCGUCGUCAACCGGUGGCAUCAUCAAGAUCAAGAGAGGGCGUGGGAGGCCGAGAAAGGAGGACCAACAAUCACAGGAAGCAACAAUGCCUCCUCCAACUCCACCAGCGUCAAGGCGGGGGAUUAAGGUAGGGUGUGGAAGACCAAUGCUAGCUCCUACAGGGUCUCCUGGGAGUGGGACUGGGAGGCCACUAAUGAUAGACAAGCACCCACCAGAAACUGCAAGGUGCUCUGUUGAUGCUACGUCGUCAGUAAUCAAGAGACCGCGCGGGAGGCCAAGAAUGUACAGACUAUCAGCAGAAGAAACUGGAGAUGCAACACCUGCUCCUCCUCAAACUGGAUAUUCGAUGGGAGUCAAGAGAGCUCAUGGUUGGCCAAUUAAGGAGAACCCAGCAGCAGCAGCAGCAAUGUCUGGUGAAACUGGAGAUGUUGCAUCGGCCGGAAUCAAGAUAGGGGGCGUGCAACCGGAAGUGGAGAAGCCAACAGCAGCAAUGUCUACUCAAGCCGGGGAUGUUGGGUCAACGGGAAUCAAGAGAGGGGGUGAGCAACUAGAAGUGGAAAUGCCAGCAGCAGCAAUGUCUGCUCAAGCUGGAGAUGCAACACCUGCUGAAUUAACUGGAGCUGCAAGGCUCAUGGAAGCUGGAGAUGCAAGGCCUGCUGAAUUAACUGGAGCUGCAAGGUUCAUGGAAGCUGGAGAUGCAAGGCCUGCUGAAUUAACUGGAGCUGCAAGGUUCACGGAAGCUGGAGAUGCAAGGCCUGCUGAAUUAACUGGAGGUGCUGCGUCGACGGGGAUCAAGAGAGGGCGUGGGAGGCCAAGAAAGGACAAGACAGCAGCAGCAGCAAUGCCUGCUGACGCUGCGUCGACGGGGAUCAAGAGAGGGCGUGGGAGGCCAAGAAAGGACAAGACAGCAGCAGCAGCAAUGCCUGCUGACGCUGGGUCUGCGGGGAUCAAGAGAGGGCGUGGGAGGCCAAGAAAAGAGAAGAAGCCAGCAGCAGCAAUGUUGGCUGAAACUGAAGCUGGAGAUACUGUGUCAACUGGGAUGAAGGGGGCGCUUGAGAAUCCAAUAUCAGGUAAUGUCGUGUCAACUGGAACCAAUGGAGCACUUCUUAGAACGGAGAAUCCAGUGGCAGGUGAUUUUGUGUCCAUGGUAAUGAAGAGAGGGCCUUGCUUUGAUUGA
rnacentral:rRNA from 1 species